AGAGCGAACGCUGGCGGCAGGCUUAACACAUGCAAGUCGAGCGGGCGUAGCAAUACGUCAGCGGCAGACGGGUGAGUAACGCGUGGGAACGUACCUUUUGGUUCGGAACAACACAGGGAAACUUGUGCUAAUACCGGAUAAGCCCUUACGGGGAAAGAUUUAUCGCCGAAAGAUCGGCCCGCGUCUGAUUAGCUAGUUGGUGAGGUAACGGCUCACCAAGGCGACGAUCAGUAGCUGGUCUGAGAGGAUGAUCAGCCACAUUGGGACUGAGACACGGCCCAAACUCCUACGGGAGGCAGCAGUGGGGAAUAUUGGACAAUGGGCGAAAGCCUGAUCCAGCCAUGCCGCGUGAGUGAUGAAGGCCCUAGGGUUGUAAAGCUUCUUUGUGCGGGAAGAUAAUGACGGUACCGCAAGAAUAAGCCCCGGCUAACUUCGCGCCAGCAGCCGC
rnacentral:rRNA from 1 species